rnacentral:rRNA from 1 species
AUUGGACGCUGGCGGAAUGCUUUACACAUGCGAGUCGAACGGUAGAGGGGGCAACCCCUCGAGAGUGGCGAACGGGUGAGUAAUAUAUCGGAGCGUGCCCAGUCGUGGGGGAUAACGUAGCGAAAGUUACGCUAAUACCGCAUACGAUCUAAGGAUGAAAGCGGGGGAUCGCCAGACCUCGCGCGAUUGGAGCGGCCGAUAUCAGAUUAGGUAGUUGGUGGGGUAAAGGCUCACCAAGCCAACGAUCUGUAGCUGGCCUGAGAGGACAACCAGCCACACUGGAACUGAGACACGGUCCAGACUCCUACGGGAGGCAGCAGUGGGGGAUUUUGGACAAUGGACGCAAGUCUGAUCCAGCCAUUCCGCGUGCAGGAUGAAGGCCCUCGGGUUGUAAACUGCCUUUGUACGGAACGAAAAGGUCUCUCUUAAUACGGGGGACUCAUGACGGUACCGUAAGAAUAAGCACCGGCUAACUACGUGCCAGCCGCCGCUGUAACAC